ensembl:lncRNA
AAAGACCACUGACCAACAACUGCAAAAAAUUUUUUAGCUCAGCUCUCAUGGAAUUGAAUGCAAAGGAUAGUGGGAUAUCAUAGGCAGAGGAGGACACAUCUAUGCUGCCUUUAAAAAUUGAUAAGAUGACGGUAUCUCAGUGGACAUGCUGUGACACAGUCAUUGGAUUUGGACAUGCCUUGUUGCGUUCCUACCAUUUUAUGCAGCAUUUUUCAGUCAUGGGAUACAGCCAGGAUCUCCACAUGAUUGGUGUUUCAAAGGGAAACCAUGGCCAUGCACUUCAUCUUUUUUCCCCUCAUUUUCUGCACUGCUUUGCAUCCAAAACUAAAAGCAUGAAUUACAAAAACCUAUGCAGAGUGUUUUGAGGAUGACUGAAGGAGCAAGUCACUUAGAGAUGGGGCAGCAAUGUUUUCUCUUCCAGGUAAUUACAAAGCGGGUAUUUUUUUUUUAAAUAGGCCUCCCAUGGUCUGUACCACUUCUUACCUUCUCACAAAAUAACAGAGAAAGGGCUGAAAAGAGUGUGUGUAGGUGUGAAAGGAUGGCGACCCCCCGUGUCGAGGUAAUUACUGCCCCUCUCUCUCUGUGUGUGCUUAGGUGGAACACUCAUUAUGCUCGUGUUCUCAUGCGAACACACACAAACACAUGUGAACCUCAUCUUUGUCACACACACAUACAUAUACUGUACAGUCACUCUGUCCUCAAACCAAACAAAAUAAAAACAGCACUUUGUCUUUUCUUCAUAUUUUUUGUUUACAUAGGAACUUGUGACAUGCAUCUGUGAUUGGGAUUAACUCUUUGUGGUCCACAUUAAAACACUGAACACACACAAGCAUUUGUAGGAGGAUAGUGUAGCGUCGAAGGAUGAAAUGUGAAACUGUCUGUUCCUGUAUACCCUCAGAAGGCCCCUCACUCUCAUAAACCACACUGGGCUUUUUCAGCUCCACUGCAUACUUCGAUCUCUCACAUACACACAAAGCUCACAAGGGCUGACUGCUAAAUCUUUCAGGAUAUUCUGGUAUGUAGUUUCUAUAAUAAACAAUGUAUAUGCUUGUAAAUCAGGUUACAGUUAUUGAGUUUUUCUAGUGAUUGACUUUGCUUUCCUUUUUACAUUAAGCACAAUAGUGUAUCAUAACAUACAGUAUAAACAUGCACAGUUAUCUAUUAUGAAGAAUAUUUUAAAAAAAAAAAAAAAAAAAUUAAGCCAAAAUUAAGCUGAUAAAACUUUACAUGCAAAAUAUGAUGGAGGUUGGGAAGGAGGAUUGGAGACUUGAGAACAGAGAUGUGAUUAAGGGCUUGGUUUUUCAUUAGUGGGUCUAUACUCCCAUCUGCAGGUCACACAUGAGAUGAGUUUUUUUUUUCUUUUUGGUUUGGUCACUUGGCUGCUAGUGAUCCUCGAAGUGUCACACAAAGUGUCAAAUUCAUUUCAGUUGUUACAAACCCACAAUCUUGGAUGAUUUGAUUUAUCACUACAUUCUAAAAAGAAAUUUCCGAAUACAUAUAUGACCACAAAUAAAUGUAUGGUUGCAAAUAAAAAUAAAACAUUUAAGAUUUUUACUGGGUAAAAUAACUGUUUGAAUUUAUAUUUUAUUUUAAAUUAUUGCUGUGCUGGCAAAGCGGAAUUUUCAGCAUCAUUUCUCAAGUCUUCAGGGUCCCACGAACCUUCAGAAAUAAUUUUAAUAUGCUGAUUUGAAUUAUUUAAUGUCAAAAACAGUUGAUACUAAUCAAAAGGACACAGUAAGUAUUUUCAUGUUGUGGCAUGACCUAAAACAGCCCAUCCAUGCUCGAAAACCCUCCAACGUGGCUGAAUUAAAACAAUCCUGAAAAGAAAAGUGGGCAGGCACGUAGUGGCAGGAAGGUUUAGACAGCUUUUUUUCCUUAAAAAAAUGAAAUCAUUAUUCCAUAACUGCAUUUUGUAUUUACUCAGGUUAUCUUUGUAAUUUUAAAAUUUGUUUGAUCUGAAUCAUUCAAGAGUGACAUGCAAAAUUUUUUAAAAAGCUGUGUGUGGGGUCAAAUAAUUUUUCACAGCUGUGUGUGUUAAGCUUUUUACUCCAUAUAAAUGGUUUUCUUCUGAACUUUAAAACCAUUGUUCCGCCGCACCAAAAAAAAAAAAACAUUGAAAAUUGCAUUUAAGUAUAUUCAAUUGCAAAACAGUUAAAUUGUAAGAAUAUUACUAUAUUUAAUGCAUUUGAUUAAAAUAAGCAUAAGAGACUUUAAAAUCCUAGUUAUUCCAAAAUUUUGACACCCAGUGUAUAGCUGUUUAUGAGAUCAUUGAGAGCAAUUGUUGUACAACUGAUUUCAGUGAACCAAACUGAAUUUUAGGAAUUUUAAUUUUCUCCUUUUACCCUUUUGAAAAACAAUUAAUGUAAUUUACCGUGCAUCAGUUGCAAACAUCCCUCCCACAGUCUUCAAAUACAGAAGAGACAAUGACACCUCACUUGUGCUGAAGUAAUGUUGCAGUGAUCUGUCAGUUUAUAUGUAUAUAAAAGACCCUUGUUUUUCAUGUUACUCUGAUAAUUGCAGAGUAACAUGAAACACACUGUAAAAUGCUGUCUAAACUGACAGAUGAUCUGACAGAUAAAAUGGCAAUAUAGCCCUUGUGACUACUAAACUCAGCCUCCCUUACUUGUUUACAAUGUCCUAUUAAAAAGAGGAUUUCACCCCAGUCAGACUCUGGUGAAGACAGAUAAAGAGGGUCUUCACCCACUGCCAUUAUACAAUCAUAGCCCAUACAAAAUAACUAAUCAAGAAAUAUAUAUAAGCAUCACAUGCACGAUGUAAAAGCAGGGCUGAACUCACCCUGAAGAUGUCCUCUGUCAUUUCCAAACUAGAAAGUGUGUCAGUAUGCUUCCCAACUUCAAGCCUGUAGAUGAGAUGUAGGGCAAAGGCAUGACAAAAUGACUCUCAAAGGUAAGUCUGACCAAAAAAUUUAAAAGUUGGAACAUGUCCUAACAUGACCAACCUGGCCAAGACCAC